UGCAUGUACCGAACUUUGUUUCUAUGUUCAAAAAAUCUAGUGAAGGUUGAAUCUGCCAUAUUUCUUGAUCCUUUUCAUGGCUUACGAUUCAUGCUCAAAGGUAGGGUGGUGGUCACGCCUACGCCUAUUUUAUUGAAGUGCAAUAGUGUGUGCAGACAUGGAUUGACCAAUUACCAUAUACCUGUAGGUUGAGAACUUGACACUUUAUCUUGAGUCUAUAGUUCCGUUUAUCAAAAAAAAAAAAAAAAAAAAAAAAAAAAAAAAAGGUCUGUAAUGGAGUCUUAUGUAGAAAUUGGAGUCUCAAUUAUGAUAUCCCUUAAGUCCAAGUAAUGGAAUAGACUGGAUUCAUUUGUAUAGUUUUCUUUAGGUGAUUUUGCUGUAAUUUGGGUUCUCCUUUACUGCAAUGGUAUCAGUCUUUGUGUUGUAUAUGGAGGUUACAGCUAAAGCUGCAAUAUGCUGUAUUUGUUAGACAGGGAUUUAUUUAAAGAUUUUGAGUUUAUUUACGUUGCGUAGAUCAUGUGGGCUUGCAUUUUUGGGUCAGGUCUUCUCCUUUGUAAAGACAGGCCAGGCCCAUCACCAUGAAUCGGUACCUUUGUUCAAAAUCAAUAUCCUCUCUAGGUAAAUCAAUUGCUUGACUAGAUGUUUGUGUAGAUUACCGUGUAGAAGUUUAGUGAAGCAACAGUUGGAUACAAGAAGAACAGAGAGAUUGCGGAGAUACAAGUUCAACUAUUUACUACUCUGUGUUUCUUAGUCACAAGACUCACAACUAUGAAUGCAACAGACAAUCAAUUGAAAGAAAAUGCCAUACCAUACUUUCAUGCACUCCAUGGAGCUUCAAAUGAAAUGUUAUGGUUUAUCUCAACUUUAUGUAAUAACACAAGAGUUAUGAGUAGAAGUUUUGUUGGUCCCCAAAUUGGGUCAAUAAUUUGCAGCUACAUAAAUUGUAAUAAUUUCUCCCACUGCUUGGGAUGUUUGAUUUAGAAAUGUAUAAAUCAAACUAAUUCCAAGUGCAUUAUAAUAAUUCCUCUUCCUCUUUCAUUUGAGAGGUUUGACUC